AUGGGCGGAUACGAGUUCCAGAGGGCGGAGCUAGAUGCACUGGAAGGCGUCGUACGCGAUCCAACUGCGGAGCCAAUGAGUCUGACGUUGCCGCUUCUCAGGCACAUAACAAAUGAUUUCUCCCCUGAAUUUGAAAUUAGUAAAGAUGAUUCUGCAGUGGUUUACCUGGGGGUGCUUCCAAGUGGGUUCCGUGUUGCUGUCAAGAAGCUUCACAAUCGUCAUUGGUUAGAAGAUGAAGAUGCAUUUAUAAAUGAAGUUUCUAUCGCAAUGAAGGCUGCUAAGAAGAACACAGUGCGAGUUAUAGGCUACUGUCAGCACACGCAAGAGCAAAUUGCCGAAUACGAAGGAAAACAAGUUUUCGCCGAGCUAACAGAAAGGUUGAUCUGUACCGAGUAUGUGCCUAACGGACCCCUUAGUGGACAUAUCGAAGGUAAGAUAUGUGCGCAAAUGGAUGGAUACGAGUUCCAGAGGGCAGAACUAGAUGCACUAGAACGCGUCGUACGCGAUACAAGUGCGGAGCCAAUGAGUCUGACGUUGCCGCUUCUCAGGCACAUAACAAAUGAUUUCUCCGAUGAAUCUCGAAUUGGCCGAGGUGGAUUCGCAGUGGUUUACCUGGGGGUGCUUCCAAGUGGGUUACGUAUUGCUGUUAAGAGGCUUAGCAAUAUUGCUUAUAUGAAUGAAAGUGCAUUUCAAAAUGAAGUGUUUAUCACAAUGAAGGCCACUCACAAGAACACAGUGCGAUUCAUGGGCUACUGUAGUCAAAUACAAGGUAAACUCAUCGAACACAACGGGCAACAUGUUUUCGCACAGCUCGAGGAAAGGUUGAUCUGUGUGGAAUAUGCGCCUAAAGGAACCCUUGAUGCACAUAUCGGUGACUAUGGUGAACUUGACUGGAACCAGCGUUAUCAAAUUCUAAAAGGAAUUUGUCAGGGUUUGCAUCAUCUCCAUGACGAAAUGCACGUUUUUCAUGGAGAUAUCAAACCAGCCAAUAUAUUAAUAGGGGAUAACCUUGUGCCUAAAAUCUAUGACUUCGGUCUCUCCCAGAUGUUUGAAGAAGAAGAAACGGAACGUAUUGUUAAAAAUAUGGCCGGAACAUUGUGUUAUCUUGCACCGGAGGUACUUAACACUCAUAUGAUGUCAUUUAAGGCUGAGAUAUACAGUUUGGGCGUUGUGAUCGAGGAGUUAUUGACCGGGAAGAAAGGAUGGAUUGAUGAGGAUGUGAGAAAACAACUUAAGGGUUUGAGAAAAACAUUGGUAAAAGAAGGAGCGUUUUCAUCAUGGGAAAACAAAUACCACCAAGUUAGAACAUGUAUGGAGAUUGGGCAGGACUGCAUAGACCCCAACCCACAUAAAAGGCCCACUUUGUUUGAGAUUAUCCAGCGGCUUAAUGAAGCGGAAGAUAUGAACUAUUCUGCAGCAUCACUUUGGCAGGUGCAGUCAGGAGACGAGGAAUCCGAUUUAUCGGAUACAGAAGCUUUGGAGACAGAGACAACAUCCGAGUUUCUUCCAAGUGACGAGGAACCCGCCUCUGUGGGCAAGACCGGAGAAACAAGCACACAGGAGCCUGAUAAACCGGACCUAGUAAGUAAGUUGCCAGCAUCGGUGGACCUGUCUGACCUAAAAGUCCUGGAGAAAAUCACAGAUGAUUUUUCACACGAAAGAAUAGUUGGGAAGGACGGUACAUUCAAAGGUUGUCAUAAGGCAUUUGUUUAUAAGGGUGACAUUCCACGUAGAGAAAUGAUAGCCGUGAAGAGGUUAAUUGGAGUGGAGAUUCCAGUUGAAAAGUUUAAGAGGGAAGCAGAACAGUUCAUUCGUCUCGAUCAUAAGAAUAUAGUAAAGGUUGCCAGCUACUGCCACGACCAGUCUACAGGACAUAGACUGGUACAGUUCAAAGGAAAACCGCUACCACAACUCUUUAACGGUCCCGAACAACUGCUCUGCUAUGAAUAUAUGCACAACGGAAGCCUUCGCGACUAUCUUAUGGGUCAAGGAUCUCGUGAAAUUGAUUGGCAAAUGCGUUACAAAUUGAUCAAAGGGACUUGCGCAGGCUUAGAUUACCUUCACAAGGGCCGUGCAGGUUGUCCAAUUGUUCAUUUGAAUUUAAGCCCGUCAAAUGUAUUGCUGGACCACAACUACAUACCACGCAUCACAGGGUUCGAUUUUUCGAAGCUCAUUGGUGAAAAGAACACCAAAUCCGUGGUACUUAAGCUGAAUGGACCCAUAGCGUACCUGCCACCGGAUUUCUUCCAUUCAAAGGGUACUGAUCUUAAAUAUCUUGCUACGGUAGAUAUAUACAGCUUGGGUCUUAUGAUUUUAGAAAUCGCAACACAACAAGAGAUCAAAGGCAUCCAUGGAGUGCUUAUUAAGAGUAUAGAGGAAAACUGGAGGGAAGAGUCACAAAUAACACGGCUGUAUACCUCACUAGGGGCCGACGAGCUGCGGCAAGUAAAAAUGUGCAUUGAUAUUGGCCUAGACUGUGUCAAGUCAAACCCUGAAAAGAGACCUACAGCUGGGGCCAUCAUGCUCUGGCUUGACAAAGAGAGCAAACCGGUCCCAGUUUCAAGGGCAGGUGCAGGAGUGCUGCCAAGACCUCCGGUCCCUACUAAUAUCAACCAUGCAGGUCGCAUCCAAGGUAUUCCGAUUGAGAAGUCUCAAGUGUUAAUUCCUUCGUUUGCAUGCAAUGAAUAUUCUUCGGUGAAAAUACAAAAUCUUCAUCUACUUCUGUUUAUGUUCAUCCAAGUUGAUCAGUAA
rnacentral:rRNA from 1 species